rnacentral:rRNA from 1 species
GACGAACGCUGGCGGCGUGCCUAACACAUGCAAGUCGAACGCUUUUUCUUUCACCGGAGCUUGCUCCACCGAAAGAAAAAGAGUGGCGAACGGGUGAGUAACACGUGGGUAACCUGCCCAUCAGAAGGGGAUAACACUUGGAAACAGGUGCUAAUACCGUAUAACACUAUUUUCCGCAUGGAAGAAAGUCGAAAGGCGCUUUUGCGUCACUGAUGGAUGGACCCGCGGUGCAUUAGCUAGUUGGGGAGGUAACGGCUCACCAAGGCAACGAUGCAUAGCCGACCUGAGAGGGUGAUCGGCCACACUGGGACUGAGACACGGCCCAGACUCCUACGGGAGGCAGCAGUAGGGAAUCUUCGGCAAUGGACGAAAGUCUGACCGAGCAACGCCGCGUGAGUGAAGAAGGUUUUCGGAUCGUAAAACUCUGUUGUUAGAGAAGAACAAGGAUGAGAGUAAAAUGUUCAUCCCUUGACGGUAUCUAACCAGAAAGCCACGGCUAACUACGUGCCAGCCGCCGCCGUAAAAC